AUAGAAACGGAGGAUGCCUCAUU
rnacentral:piRNA from 1 species